CCUGGAGCUCGUUGGGUAGGCAGAAUCUUGGGCCUGCCCCAGACUGCUAAACCAGAACCUGCAUUCCAACAAGACCUCUGGGGGACCAUUGCCUGUCAGUGUCUGAGAAGCACUGAUCUGGGGUAUCCCGUGCCUCAGUCCAUCCCCUCCCUUUAGGACUGGACCUCCUCUGGUAGCGCCAAUGGCUAGGAGUAGGGGCACCCAGAAGGUUAGCCCCUCCUCCUCCAUCCACCAUUAUUCUCCAGCUAAAACAGUAACCCCCAGUGUCCUGGGGAAGCUUCAUAGAAAUGGCACAGAAACAAUGCAGGAAAGCUUUGUGAAGAUCCAUUUUUGUGAGCAGUGAGAAAUCGAAAGAGAAGUCCCACAGGUGGGGAAGGUCUGUGGCAGGAGUGGAAGCAUGCUUUGGUGCUCUGAAGGCCAGGGGAAGGGACAAAGUGUACUUUAUGACCCAAUGAGAGACAGGAUGUUUUGUCUCGGUUUCUGGGGGAGGCAGACCUGGUGGCUCAGGAAUUUACCCUGAACACUGAGAUGCUGGCUUUCCUCCCUGUCUCCGUGGGUCUCUAAUGCCUCCAGUAUUUCAUUCCUCUCACUAACUUGGGAAGAGCCGACUAGAAAAUGCUCCAGUCUGGGAGAUAAAGGUUCUUGGCCAAGAUGCUAAUCCUUCGAAAGGGUUUUCUCUCGGAUUGAUGGCCGCCGAGUUUGCUCUGAGAUCACCACCCACAGGACCACUAUCCCCCUACAACUGAAAAGAUGGCAGCAGCAGAAUCACCAACACAGCGUCGGAGGGUCUGUGGCCUGGCAGAGUUGAGAAGAUGACUCGUCCCAGGUGGGACGAAUGACCUUGCGGAGCUGGGGGAAAGUCAGAUCUCUGUGGACAUAGCUCCCGGCUCCUGCCCCUGGACUGUGAUCUGAACACUUUAACUUAAGAGGUUACUGACAGGAGACUUGCUGAGAGCUCUAAGUGUCUGCUUCUUGGGGAUGUCAGAAAAUGCCAAGUAUUUUCCCCAUUUAAUGGAGUCUGAAACCACAGUGAGACCAAAAGAGCCAUGGAAUGAUGCUGGCCCCAGAUCAAGGACUCCUGCUCAUUCUGAGCAUUGACUCAAGGUGGUAUUCCAUUGUGUUGCUCUCCCAGGUGUUUGCAUCCUGCCUCCAGCAAGGAGCCAGGGAGUCUUCUCUCUCCUCCAGUCUCAUCUCAUAUUAAUGGCAGUAAAAGAAGUUAACUUCUCAAGUUGCAGAGAUUCAGAUUUUGCAGUCUAGAAAAGCAAGUAUUUCGUCCAUUUCGUCUUGAAGAGCUCUGUCCAAAGUCUGCUGCCCUGUUCUCCACCUGCUCAUGCUACUUCACAGAAAUGAAAACUCGAGGAAGUACCUCCCAGGUCAAGAAGCACGACAUGGGCAUCCCAGACAGAUGGAGCAGCACAGGCAGCAUGAAGGACUCCGAAAACCCGCACGUGGCCAGCAUCUGCCCAUCACCAUGCUAAAGUUGCUCCAGUGAACUUAGAGGCCAAACUUAGUGAAUCCUGCGUCUUGAGACACAUAAGAGGCAGCAUCAAGGCAGGCCACUGCUCCUGCUUGGGAUGCUCCAGUGAACAUAUGCCAGCAUUACUGAGCAGUUCCUGUGGAGAGAGAAGGGUGUGGUUCUCCCCUGGAGCUUCCUCCAUCUUAAGCUAUUCAACUGCCCCACCUUUCUGCCCCCCAUCCCAUCACUGUCAUGUGUUGACACAGGAAAGGAAAAUCUGCUCUAAUUUAGACAUUCACAGUAGGACAUGUGUGGCUUGCCUCCACUGUCCUGGGGUUCGUCUCUGGAGAUGUUUGAAUCCCUCUUUAGUAAAUCUAGGAAAUCAACAUGGUGCUCAUCAGACUGCAGGCGCCUCCUCUCUUUUUCCUUGAAAACUGUACUUCUCUUAAUGUGUUUCAAAGAUAGCUUUGUCUUUUUCAUGGCCCAGACCAUAAACUAAAACCCCAAGCCAGUGUUUCCCACACUGUGUUCCAUAACAUCAGUCCUGUAGAUAUUAAUAUGUGAUAUACAGAAAUGGUUCUGUUUGGGGACUGCUGAAUUAAACAAAGAGAACUGACUACAACGGGUACCCUCAGAGCCUCUGUAUUUUCUAGUGCAUUAAUUGACUUAAUAAGAGGAGGGGAGAGCAUGGUUUUGUGUCUCAAACUAAUCUGGAAUGCAGCCUUUCUGUGUGACAUCAAGAGUAAUGUUUCAUAACAGACACUGCAUGCCACUGCUAUUCUCUUUUUUGUUGUUGUUAUUAGAUGUUUAUUUUUACUUUUUAAAAUUUAAGCACAGUUAACACAGUGUUGUGUUAGUU